UACGGAGGGUGCGAGCGUUGUCCGGAAUCAUUGGGCGUAAAGGGCGCGUAGGUGGCCACUUCAAGCGUGCGGUGAAAGUCGGGGGCUCAACCCCUGAUCGGCCGUGCGAACUGGGGGGCUGGAGCACUGUAGAGGCGAGUGGAAUUCCUGGUGUAGCGGUGAAAUGCGCAGAUAUCAGGAGGAACACCAAUGGCGAAGGCAGCUCGCUGGGACGGUACUGACGCUGAGACGCGAAAGCGUGGGGAGCAAACAGG
rnacentral:rRNA from 1 species